rnacentral:rRNA from 1 species
UACGGAGGGUGCAAGCGUUGUCCGGAAUUAUUGGGCGUAAAGAGCGUGUAGGCGGCUUGGUAAGUCUGUCGUGAAAUGCUGGGGCUCAACCCUGGACGUGCGAUGGAUACUGCUUGGCUAGAGGAUGGUAGAGGCGAGUGGAAUUCCCGGUGUAGCGCUGAAAUGCGCAGAUAUCGGGAGGAACACCAGUAGCGAAGGCGGCUCGCUGGGCCAUUCCUGACGCUGAGACGCGAAAGCAUGGGGAGCAAACAGG